rnacentral:rRNA from 1 species
CACGUAGGGGGCGAGCGUUGUUCGGAUUCAUUGGGCGUAAAGGGGGCCUAGGCGGCUUGGCAAGUCGGAUGUGAAAUCCCACGGCUCACCCGUGGAACUGCGUUCGAAACUGCCUCGCUUGAGUACGGGAGAGGAGAGCGGAAUUCUCAGUGUAGCGGUGGAAUGCGUAGAUAUUGAGAAGAACACCGGUGGCGAAGGCGGCUCUCUGGCCCGAUACUGACGCUGAAGCCCGAAAGCCAGGGGAGCGAACGGGAUUAGAUACCCCCGUA